CGCGUCGGCGAGGAGUCGAACAAAGAAAUGAGCUAGCCCUUCUAUUUAUCCCUGAAAAAAUAUAUAUUUACCACAUAAUUACGAAAUUUUGACCUCCGCGAGUCACUGAAUGUUUUGGCAAGCAAGAGGGGUGUGUCACUGCUUCAAGGGAGCGUAUACCAAGAAAACCAGUUUGCGCCUAUCCUCAUUUCUUUUUCGUACCGUAUGUUUGUAAUUUCAGCGGAAGAUAUCUAUGUUGCAUAAACGUGUGUAAAAGAUUUUAAAAUAAUUUAUUUGGUAAUAAUAUGUUGAAGAAUGGUUUAUACUUGUGUUCCUGAUUUAGAAAAAUUAAUCUCAAUACUGAAAAUGUCCACUUCUUUCCGUCUCCGAAUCGAAUUUGAUGUGCAAAAAAGUGGUUAUAUGCCGUUUAUUAGCAGAAUUUCAGCCCAUCAAAACAUUCUAAUGUUAUGAGGAAAAUUAUUGAAUGUUGUAUAGUUAUUAAAUCCACCACAGAUACCAACAUUGACUAUUGGAGGUACUGGAUUCGCCAGGAUGCGCAAGUGGAUGACCAGUCGCCAAUGACAGAGGUUUUAAAUAAAAGAAGAGAAAAGAGAUAAUGGCAGAAGGAGUGGAAAUGGCUGGAGAGGGCCAUGGAAGGGAUCUCAAUCACCGGGGAGAAGGGAGCGAGAAAAAAACAGAUAAAGCUGGGACCUCUGGAGUGACCUCCAAACUGGUGAAGAGCUUUUCAAGCAGUGAAGAUUCUCAUAAGAGAGAAUGCAUUGCUGAUGACAACUCGGAAAGGGCCCUAAAGAAAUGACGGCUUUAUAGUCAAGCUGUGAGGAAGGCAAUUACUCUGUGGGUCGUUUGCAAGGAUGACUCCAGAGACAUAAUGUCGUCGGAUUCGGAUUUCAUCACUUCUGUGAUUGAUGACCAAAUUAUCUACGGCUCCAUUACUACCUGUAGGGUCCACAAGACAGUCUGGUGCUGGGAGUGGAACAUGAGCUCAUGGAUUACCUGGAGGUCCAGAAUUUCAAACUUUUUUGUGGUGCCCGUUUCUCUGUACAGCUGAAGGAACCAAGACCACAGGGAAAAUCAAUUCUUCUGCCCAAGGAUCCUCUGAGGAAACAGUUGAUGGAAGGAGCGGAGACCGAAAAGGAGUCAGAACCAGAGCCUUCUUUGGAGGCUCUGGGGAAGAUCUCUGAGUAGGUUUCCUCUGUCACGACUUCAAGAAUAACACCAGAAUCUGAAACCGGAAAUCUUUACAUGAGGCGAAAUCGGCAAACCUCGAUGCUGUCUUGUACGAGUAGUUCCAGCAGUGGCGGAGUGAUGGGGUACCUAUUUCAGGAUUACUCCUGAGAGAAAAGGAGAAGCAAAUUCAUGCUGAUUUAAAAAUAGAGGAGACUAAUGCUAGUCUUCCUGGAGCUAAAUGUGGGAUUAUCCUCAAGGCUGAUGCUAAACUUUCUGCCACUAGGUACAGCAGCUACCUUUUCUGAAUUUUGCUGUGCUUUAUGGUCACACCAAUUACAUUGAUGCUAAUGCUGUACUUGCAUUCAGACAUAUGAAUUGGAAUUAUGUUUGAUGUUUCAUAGACUGAAGAAUGGUGACUCAUCAAACACAGGAAAAAACUCAAAUUCCAGCUUGCUACAGCAGAGCACACCUCAAAAGAACAUCCAUGCAUCUGUAACUCUAGUAACUACCAACUGAAGCUUCAAGUGAAUGCUAAGAAAACUAACUAAUUGCAUUUGCAUGCUGCUCAGCUCAGUGAAUAAAAACACAAUUUAUAUAAUAUAAAA
rnacentral:lncRNA from 1 species